GGGGGUGACAGGUUUCGACGAUCAGAUGUCUGAUCCCGGAGAAGCGUGCCGAGGACAUCGGCUUAUCUCGUUAACGAUGCUGAUAAACAAAUAACUGCCAAAAAGACGCAGUCCGAGUUCGCACUCGCCGCCUGAGGCGAGUAGCCACUCCGUCAGCCCGGGGAGUCUCCGACCCGGUGUCUGGCGUCAACUAGGAGACUCACCAACCUCCCCGGUCCCGGGGGAGCGCGGAAAGACAAACAGUGACUAGGCCGCUACCGCGUAGUGCCGUACAAAGCGCGGAGGCUGAGUAGCGAUAGCACGGCUACGCACGUAGAAGACCGGUUCAGAUCUGAACGGACCCGGGUUCGAUUCCCGGCACCUCCACCG
rnacentral:tmRNA from 1 species